rnacentral:rRNA from 1 species
GACGAACGCUGGCGGCGUGCUUAACACAUGCAAGUCUAACGGAAAGGCCCUGCUUUUGUGGGGUGCUCGAGUGGCGAACUUGUGAGUAACACGUGAGUAACCUGCCCUUGACUUUGGGAUAACUUCAGGAAACUGGGGCUAAUACCGGAUAGGAGCUCCUGCUGCAUGGUUGGGGUUGGAAAGUUUCGGCGGUUGGGGAUGGACUCGCGGCUUAUCAGCUUGUUGGUGGGGUAGUGGCUUACCAAGGCUUUGACGGGUAGCCGGCCUGAGAGGGUGACCGGCCACAUUGGGACUGAGAUACGGCCCAGACUCCUACGGGAGGCAGCAGUGGGGAAUAUUGCACAAUGGGCGGAAGCCUGAUGCAGCAACGCCGCGUGCGGGAUGACGGCCUUCGGGUUGUAAACCGCUUUCGCCUGUGACGAAGCGUGAGUGACGGUAAUGGGUAAAGAAGCACCGGCUAACUACGUG